AAUAUUGCACAAUGGGGGAAACCCUGAUGCAGCGACGCCGCGUGAGCGAAGAAGGCCUUCGGGUCGUAAAGCUCUGUCCUAGGGGACGAUAAUGACGGUACCCUCGGAGGAAGCCCCGGCUACCUACGUGCCAUCAGCCGCGGUAAUACGUAGGGGGCGAGCGUUGUCCGGAAUUAUUGGGCGUAAAGGGUUCGCAGGCGGCCUUUUAAGUCAGAUGUGAAAGCCCACGGCUUAACCGUGGUAAGCAUUUGAAACUGGAAGGCUUGAGUUAAGGAGAGGAAAGUGGAAUUCCUAGUGUAGCGGUGAAAUGCGUAGAUAUUAGGAGGAAUACCAGUGGCGAAGGCGACUUUCUGGACUUAUACUGACGCUGAGGAACGAAAGCGUGGGGAGCAAACAG
rnacentral:rRNA from 1 species